rnacentral:rRNA from 1 species
UCGAGAAUCUUCCGCAAUGGGCGCAAGCCUGACGGAGCGACACCGCGUGCAGGAUGAAGGCCUUCGGGUUGUAAACUGCUGUCACGCCAUAGGAAUGUCAAACGGUAAACAGUCGUUUGAUUGACUAAAGCGAGAGGAAGAGCCGGCUAACUCUGUGCCAGCAGCCGCGGUAAGACAGAGGGCUCAAACGUUGUUCGGAAUCACUGGGCAUAAAGGGCGCGUAGGCGGCCUAACAAGUCGUUUGUGAAAUCCCCCAGCUCAACUGGGGAACUGCAUACGAUACUGUUUGGCUCGAGGACGGGAGGGGUAAGUGGAACUCCAGGUGGAACGGUGAAAUGUGUAGAUAUCUGGAGGAACACCGGUGGCGAAAGCGGCUUACUGGCCCGUAUCUGACGCUGAGGCGCGAAAGCCAGGGGAGCAAACGGGGAUUAGAUACCCAUGUAGUCCCUGAGCGGGCUGGCAAGGCGCAU